rnacentral:rRNA from 1 species
ACGCUGAAGCUUGGUGCUUGCACUGGGUGGAUGAGUGGCGAACGGGUGAGUAAUACGUGAGUAACCUGCCCUUGACUCUGGGAUAAGCCUGGGAAACUGGGUCUAAUACUGGAUAUGACCUCCUGUCGCAUGGUGGGGGGUGGAAAGGGUUUGUACUGGUUGUGGAUGGGCUCACGGCCUAUCAGCUUGUUGGUGGGGUAAUGGCCUACCAAGGCGACGACGGGUAGCCGGCCUGAGAGGGUGACCGGCCACACUGGGACUGAGACACGGCCCAGACUCCUACGGGAGGCAGCAGUGGGGAAUAUUGCACAAUGGGCGCAAGCCUGAUGCAGCGACGCCGCGUGAGGGAUGACGGCCUUCGGGUUGUAAACCUCUUUCAGCACGGAAGAAGCGAAAGUGACGGUACGUGCAGAAGAAGCGCCGGCUAACUACGUGCCAGCAGCCGCGGUAAUACGUAGGGCGCAAGCGUUGUCCGGAAUUAUUGGGCGUAAAGAGCUCGUAGGCGGUUUGUCGCGUCUGCUGUGAAAGCCCGGGGCUUAACCCCGGGUGUGCAGUGGGUACGGGCAGACUUGAGUGCAGUAGGGGAGACUGGAACUCCUGGUGUAGCGGUGAAAUGCGCAGAUAUCANGAAGAACACCGAUGGCGAAGGCAGGUCUCUGGGCUGUUACUGACGCUGAGGAGCGAAAGCAUGGGGAGCGAACAGGAUUAGAUACCCUGGUAGUCCAUGCCGUAAACGUUGGGCACUAGGUGUGGGGGACAUUCCACGUUUUCCGCGC